UACGUAGGGUGCAAGCGUUGUCCGGAAUUAUUGGGCGUAAAGAGCUCGUAGGCGGUCUGUCGCGUCGGCUGUGAAAUCCCGAGGCUCAACCUCGGGUCUGCAGUCGAUACGGGCAAACUGGAGUGAUGCAGGGGAGACUGGAAUUCCUGGUGUAGCGGUGAAAUGCGCAGAUAUCAGGAGGAACACCGGUGGCGAAGGCGGGUCUCUGGGCAACAACUGACGCUGAGGAGCGAAAGCGUGGGGGUCAAACAGG
rnacentral:rRNA from 1 species